ensembl:lncRNA
CCUGAGAGAGGCAUGCUGGGAGAUGUGCAUUAAGAAAAUUACUCUGGGAAGGGGCUGUUGCGGGACUGCCUUCUAGGGACCCUGAAGACCAGAACGAGCAGGCAGAAAAUGACUCCAAGGGUAUAUGAUCAAGUGUCUAUCAGGUGUUGGCCAUGAUUUGGAGACUGCAUAGAGGAGAGAACCAUAAUACAUCUUUCUUAAAGAGCGUGGAAUUGCAAAUCCUGGAGUCUAUUUAGAGAUCUAAGUGAGCUCUCCUGCCCUGUCAGUGAGAUCGAUGUCUGCUUUCCUCGAUACCGCAUGAGCAUACCUUCACAAAAUGUGCUGGAACUUCUCAGGGAUCACUAGAGGCACGGCGGCAGCCCCAGAGGCAGAGCAGGCCUUCUGUGGAAGAGAUAAAUGAGUCGAACCUGUUGAUGAACGUGUGCGCCUGAUUUUAAAGACUUACAGUGCUUUAUCAUCAAGAUCUUUCAACUGUCUCAGGACCAGUUUGGGAAACUUACUCUACACUCAAGAGCUUUAUAAGAAGAUUUUUC